AACGAACGCUGGCGGCAUGCCUAACACAUGCAAGUCGAACGAAGGCUUCGGCCUUAGUGGCGCACGGGUGCGUAACGCGUGGGAAUCUGCCCUUUGGUUCGGAAUAACAGCUGGAAACGGCUGCUAAUACCGGAUGAUGACGAAAGUCCAAAGAUUUAUCGCCAGAGGAUGAGCCCGCGUUGGAUUAGGUAGUUGGUGGGGUAAAGGCCUACCAAGCCGACGAUCCAUAGCUGGUCUGAGAGGAUGAUCAGCCACGCUGGGACUGAGACACGGCCCAGACUCCGACGGGAGGCAGCAGUGGGGAAUAUUGGACAAUGGGCGCAAGCCUGAUCCAGCAAUGCCGCGUGAGUGAUGAAGGCCCUAGGGUUGUAAAGCUCUUUUACCCGGGAAGAUAAUGACUGUACCGGGAGAAUAAGCCCCGGCUAACUCCGUG
rnacentral:rRNA from 1 species